AAAGUCGUAACAAGGUAACCGUAGGUGAACCUGCGGUUGGAUCAUUAAUAAAUUUUAGAGCAGUAGGGGGUUGGGGCUCUUGAGUCUUGACUUCUCGCCUGUUUCUUAACAUUUUGUGAAUCGUUUAUUGUCUCUUGCGGUUGGAGGCUCUCUUUUGGGGGUCAACUCCGCAUGUGAAUCUUAACAUUGUAAUAUAACCAUUAGUCUUUAAAAUUAAACUUAAAAAAUUUAAAAACAACUUUUGACAACGGAUCUCUAGGCUCUC
rnacentral:misc_RNA from 1 species